AUUAAGAGUUUGAUCAUGGCUCAGAUUGAACGCUGGCGGCAGGCCUAACACAUGCAAGUCGAGCGGUAGAGAGAAGCUUGCUUCUCUUGAGAGCGGCGGACGGGUGAGUAAUGCCUAGGAAUCUGCCUGGUAGUGGGGGAUAACGUUCGGAAACGGACGCUAAUACCGCAUACGUCCUACGGGAGAAAGCAGGGGACCUUCGGGCCUUGCGCUAUCAGAUGAGCCUAGGUCGGAUUAGCUAGUUGGUGAGGUAAUGGCUCACCAAGGCGACGAUCCGUAACUGGGCUGAGAGGAUGAUCAGUCACACUGGAACUGAGACACGGUCCAGACUCCUACGGGAGGCAGCAGGUGGGGAAUAUUGGACAAUGGGCGAAAGCCUGAUCCAGCCAUGCCGCGUGUGUGAAGAAGGUCUUCGGAUUGUGAGAACCUUUAAGUUGGGAGGAAGGGCAGUUACCUAAUACGUGA
rnacentral:rRNA from 1 species